rnacentral:rRNA from 1 species
CGGGGACCCGCACAAGCAGCGGAGCGUGUGGUUUAAUUCGUUGCUACACGAAGAACCUUACCUGGGUUUGACAAUAUAGGUUGUAGGGAACUGAAAGGGACCGACCUUCGGGAAGCCUAUACAGGUGUUGCAUGGCUGUCGUCAGCUCGUGUCGUGAGAUGUUCGGUUAAGUCCGCUAACGAGCGCAACCCUCGUCGUAUGUUAUAUGUGUCAUACGAGACUGCCGGUAAAAGCCGGAGGAAGGUGAGGAUGAUGUCAAGUCAGCAUGACCUUUAUAUCCAGGGCUACACACACGCUACAAUGGUCUGUACAAUGGGUAGCCAAGCCGCGAGGCGGAGCCAAUCCUGAAAGCAGGCCUCAGUUCAGAUUGCAGUCUGCAACUCGACUGCAUGAAGCCGGAGUUGCUAGUAACCGCAGGUCAGCAAUACUGCGGUGAAUACGUUCCCGGGUCUU